rnacentral:rRNA from 1 species
UACGAAGGGGGCUAGCGUUGUUCGGAAUCACUGGGCGUAAAGGGCGCGUAGGCGGCUUUAUAAGUCGGGGGUGAAAGCCUGUGGCUCAACCACAGAAUUGCCUUCGAUACUGUAUGGCUUGAGACCGGAAGAGGUAAGUGGAACUGCGAGUGUAGAGGUGAAAUUCGUAGAUAUUCGCAAGAACACCAGUGGCGAAGGCGGCUUACUGGUCCGGUUCUGACGCUGAGGUGCGAAAGCGUGGGGAGCAAACAGG